UAGGGAAUCUUCCACAAUGGGCGCAAGCCUGAUGGAGCAACACCGCGUGAGUGAAGAAGGGUUUCGGCUCGUAAAGCUCUGUUGUUAAAGAAGAACACGUAUGAGAGUAACUGUUCAUACGUUGACGGUAUUUAACCAGAAAGUCACGGCUAACUACGUGCCAGCAGCCGCGGUAAUACGUAGGUGGCAAGCGUUAUCCGGAUUUAUUGGGCGUAAAGAGAGUGCAGGCGGUUUUCUAAGUCUGAUGUGAAAGCCUUCGGCUUAACCGGAGAAGUGCAUCGGAAACUGGAUAACUUGAGUGCAGAAGAGGGUAGUGGAACUCCAUGUGUAGCGGUGGAAUGCGUAGAUAUAUGGAAGAACACCAGUGGCGAAGGCGGCUACCUGGUCUGCAACUGACGCUGAGACUCGAAAGCAUGGGUAGCGAACAGGAUUAGAUACCCUGGUAGUCCAUGCCGUANCGAUGAGUGCUAGGUGUUGGAGGGUUUCCGCCCUUCAGUGCCGGAGCUAACGCAUUAAGCACUCCGCCUGGGGAGUACGACCGCAAGGUUG
rnacentral:rRNA from 1 species